rnacentral:rRNA from 1 species
GACGAACGCUGGCGGCGCGCUUAACACAUGCAAGUCGAACGGAAAGGCCUGCUUUCCCUUGUGGAUUGCGGGUACUCGAGUGGCGAACGGGUGAGUAACACGUGAGUGAUCUGCCCCCAACUUGGGUAUAAGCCUGGGAAACUGGGUCUAAUUCCCGAUAGGACUGCAGGGUGGUGCCUGUGGUGGAAAACGAUUUUCUAGUGGUUGGGGAUGAGCUCGCGGCCUAUCAGCUUGUUGGUGGGGUAAUGGCCUACCAAGGCGGCGACGGGUAGCCGGCCUGAGAGGGUGGACGGCGACAUUGGGACUGAGAUACGGCCCAGACUCCUACGGGAGGCAGCAGUGGGGAAUAUUGCACGAUGGGCGGAAGCCUGAUGCAGCGACGCCGCGUGGGGGAUGACGGCCUUCGGGUGGUAAACUCCUUUCGACCGCGAGGAAGCCACCUGGUUGGAAGGGUGGUGACGGUAGUGGUAGAAGAAGCACCGGCUAACUACGUG